rnacentral:rRNA from 1 species
AACGAACGCUGGCGGCGUGCCUAACACAUGCAAGUCGUGCGAGAAAGUUCCUUCGGGAGCGAGUAAAGCGGCGCACGGGUGAGUAACACGUAGGUAACCUGCCCCCAGUCUGGAACAACUAGAGGAAACUCUAGCUAAUGCCGGAUGAGACCACGAUCCCUUCGGGGGUUGCGGCCAAAAGAUGGCCUCUACUUGUAAGCUAUCGCUGAGGGAUGGGCCUGCGGGCCAUUAGCUUGUUGGUGAGGUAACGGCUCACCAAGGCUGUGAUGGCUAGCUGGUCUGAGAGGAUGACCAGCCACACUGGGACUGAAGACACGGCCCAGACUCCGACGGAGGCAGGCAGUGGGAAUAUUGCG